GUGGGGAAUAUUGGACAAUGGGCGCAAGCCUGAUCCAGCCAUGCCGCGUGAGUGAUGAAGGCCCUAGGGUUGUAAAGCUCUUUCACCGGUGAAGAUAAUGACGGUAACCGGAGAAGAAGCCCCGGCUAACUUCGUGCCAGCAGCCGCGGUAAUACGAAGGGGGCUAGCGUUGUUCGGAAUUACUGGGCGUAAAGCGCACGUAGGCGGGUAUUUAAGUCAGGGGUGAAAUCCCGGAGCUCAACUCCGGAACUGACUUUGAUACUGGGUACCUAGAGUAUGGAAGAGGUAAGUGGAAUUCCGAGUGUAGAGGUGAAAUUCGUAGAUAUUCGGAGGAACACCAGUGGCGAAGGCGGCUUACUGGUCCAUUACUGACGCUGAGGUGCGAAAGCGUGGGGAGCAAACAGGAUUAGAAACCCCAGUAGUCC
rnacentral:rRNA from 1 species